rnacentral:rRNA from 1 species
UGGGGAAUUUUGGACAAUGGGGGAAACCCUGAUCCAGCCAUCCCGCGUGUGCGAUGAAGGCCUUCGGGUUGUAAAGCACUUUUGGCAGGAAAGAAACGUCAUGGGUUAAUACCCCGUGAAACUGACGGUACCUGCAGAAUAAGCACCGGCUAACUACGUGCCAGCAGCCGCGGUAAUACGUAGGGUGCAAGCGUUAAUCGGAAUUACUGGGCGUAAAGCGUGCGCAGGCGGUUCGGAAAGAAAGAUGUGAAAUCCCAGAGCUCAACUUUGGAACUGCAAUUUUAACUAUCGGGCUAGAGUGUGUCAGAGGGAGGUGGAAUUCCGCGUGUAGCAGUGAAAUGCGUAGAUAUGCGGAGGAACACCGAUGGCGAAGGCAGCCUCCUGGGAUAACACUGACGCUCAUGCACGAAAGCGUGGGGAGCAAACAGG